AAGGGGACACCCAAAAGUUACAGAAAUUAAAGCUCCGUCGCCUGUACCAAAUCGACCGGUCACCGCCGCUGUGGUGUUCGCACCGUCCAGAUCAGCAUAUCCGUUUUUAUCCCCUGAGGCAGCCCCGUUUAACCCCGCAGUUUGCGGAAUGAAAUCGGAUUGGGUGGAAAAGAGUAUACCUUUGAUUGGCAGAUUUUUGAAAAAAAGGAAGCAACUCGAUGAAUUCCUCGGCUUCUAUUUCAAUUGUCAGUUUCUCCUCAACUGUGAUUUCAAGAAUUGGUAUCAUGGAAUUAAAAUAUGGAGGUUCGUAUUCAUGGGAUUGUGAAGAAAUUACCUUUGUUGGAUAGACAUCUCACGGUUUCUCUCUUUUUUUUUCAGAUUUUUGGUAGAAUAAAGAAACUGAUUUGUGAAAGGAAUAUUAUAGAGAGAGGGUGAUUUGGUUUAGAUGUGGGAGAGAUUUAUGAGAUCACUGAGGAGGAAUAUCCUUUCACGGAGGAGGAUAAUCUUUAUAGAAUCUCAAAUUAAAUUUGACUUGGUGACCAAGUCAACCGGAAGAGAAUUUGAUUUGGUUUAAUUCACGACCCCUUUGUAUUUUCUUUAAAUUAUACAGUUCACAAUUCAUUUAUCACGGACUAGACUUUUAUAUUAUUUGUCCAA